UACAGAGGUCCCAAGCGUUGUUCGGAUUCAUUGGGCGUAACGGGUGCGUAGGCGGCGCGGCAAGUCGGGUGUGAAAUUUCGGAGCUUAACUCCGAAACUGCAUUCGAUACUGGCGUGCUUGAGGACUGGAGAGGAGACUGGAAUUCAUGGUGUAGCAGUGAAAUGCGUAGAGAUCAUGAGGAAGACCAGUGGCGAAGGCGGGUCUCUGGACAGUUCCUGACACUGAGACACGAAGGCCAGGGGAGCAAACGGG
rnacentral:rRNA from 1 species